AGUGGGAGGCCGGAUCCUGGGCUGUGUCCCCAGGGCCCUGUGCUCCAGGGCCUGAGCUGUUGGAUUCACACUCCUUGCCACACAGCCCCCU
rnacentral:pre_miRNA from 1 species